GGCAACAGAACUGGCCCCAGGAAGGCGAAGGGCGGAGCAACAGGAUCUGUGCCGAGCGUGAAUAAAGGGAGUGGCGGUCAGGGCCCCGCAGACCCAGAGACUCCCGCCUCCCAGAGGCUGCCUUGGGCGAAGCGCUGAGUCACGGUGAGGAGCCUGUGGCCUCAGAGCCAGCCCGCGGUGCGCUCGGUGCGGUUCCCUUGUCCCCCACCCCACGGAGGCUCCAGGGGCCGCCGCGCCUCGCUCCUUGGCCGCCGCGAUCGCUGUGUGAGUGCCUGGGGCUCCCCCAGAGGUGGGCUGGGUGGAGCAUGUUGCAGAUCGGUCGGCAAGAUACCACCUUCCCAACCCUCUUCAGACUCCUGAAAUGACUAAAGAUGCUGCAAUCAAUAGUACUGAGAUUUUUGUCACAGUGCUAGUUGGCUUUUCUUUCCUCAAAGCACUGAAGCCUGUUAAAUACCUCAUCAGUUGUUCACAGGCAUAGAAUUUAAUUGUGGGAGUCUGGAAGGACCCAGAAUAGUCUAGCUGGGGGUAAACAAAGUUUCUAGUUGCUCUCUGGUAGGUAGAUGUUGACAGGGCUGUACAGCUCUGAGUAUUAAACUCCUUUCUCUGCCUUGCAUUCUGUCGCCCAAUAAAUAUUUACUAAUUAUCCACUGGGGGAGGAUACAUUUGAGUAACUGGAGGGUAUUGCUGGGUAGAGCCCCCCUGAGUAACAGCAGCUAACAUUCUCAUGGUACUAACCACACCCCUUUGAUAUGGGCACUUAUUACUCCCACAUUAUGGAUGCAGAAAACUGAAGCAUAGAGUCCCAGGUCAAAAGUGAAGUUAGGAUGCAAACCUGGGCUGUCUGGCUCCAGAAUCUGCUUCUCGCUCAAGCAUUUUUUUUGAAUUUCAGUAGGAAACUUUGAAGGAAUUAGUUCUAUUUCACUUGAAGAAGAGAUUUAGAGAACCAUAGGUACUAUUUGCAAAUACUUGAAGCGGAAGUGAAGUUAAUUAUAUCUGUUCUGUGAUAGUCCAUUGGUUAGAACUUAGACCCCUCAAAGAGGAAACACUCUUCAAUAAUAAAUGCAGAGUAUAGGUCCUGAGUAUGGAGUGCACCCUCAAGGGCAGUUCACCCAUGAGUUGCCUGAGCUUUAGAAAGCUCAAAGAUUUCUUUCCUAGAAAGUUGGCCCUGCACUUUAGGGAUAGAUGUAUUUUUGAAUUCAAUGACCCUUGAAGAUCCCUUUCAUUGCUAAGAUUUUCAGAAUGUUCUGGUGAGAGUCAUGGACCUCUUGGUUUUGUGUUUCCUAUCUUGCCACACAAAUCCUCCUCUAUCUGACUCCCUACUUCAUGAAAUAAUGAGCAGGGUACUGGGC
rnacentral:lncRNA from 1 species